CGGGGUGAGUAACGCGUGGGCAACCUGCCCCGCACUGGGGGACAACAGCCGGAAACGGCUGCUAAUACCGCAUAUGCGCACAGCUUUGCAUGAAGCAGUGUGGAAAACUCCGGUGGUGUGGGAUGGGCCCGCGUCUGAUUAGCUGGUUGGCGGGGCAACGGCCCACCAAGGCGACGAUCAGUAGCCGGCCUGAGAGGGUGGACGGCCACAUUGGGACUGAGACACGGCCCAGACUCCUACGGAAGGCAGCAG
rnacentral:rRNA from 1 species